rnacentral:rRNA from 1 species
GUAACGCGUGGGAACGUACCCUUCACUACGGAAUAGUCCCGGGAAACUGGGUUUAAUACCGUAUACGCCCUUCGGGGGAAAGAAUUUCGGUGAGGGAUCGGCCCGCGUUAGAUUAGUUAGUUGGUGGGGUAAUGGCCUACCAAGACUACGAUCUAUAGCUGGUUUGAGAGGAUGAUCAGCAACACUGGGACUGAGACACGGCCCAGACUCCUACGGGAGGCAGCAGUGGGGAAUCUUAGACAAUGGGGGCAACCCUGAUCUAGCGAUGCCGCGUGAGUGAUGAAGGCCUUAGGGUCGUAAAGCUCUUUCGCCUGUGAUGAUAAUGACAGUAGCAGGUAAAGAAACCCCGGCUAACUCCGUGCCAGCAGCCGCGGUAAUACGGAGGGGGUUAGCGUUGUUCGGAAUUACUGGGCGUAAAGCGCACGUAGGCGGAUUAGUCAGUCAGAGGUGAAAUCCCAGGGCUCAACCCUGGAACUGCCUUUGAUACUGCUAGUCUUGAGUUCGAGAGAGGUAAGUGGAAUUCCGAGUGUAGAGGUGAAAUUCGUAGAUAUUCGGAGGAACACCAGUGGCGAAGGCGGCUUACUGGCUCGAUACUGACGCUGAGGUGCGAAAGUGUGGGGAGCAAACAGGAUUAGAUACCCUGGUAGUCCACACCGUAAACGAUGAAUGCCAGUCGUCGGGUAGCAUGCUAUUCGGUGACACACCUAACGGAUUAAGCAUUCCGCCUGGGGAGUACGGUCGCAAGAUUAAAACUCAUAGGAAUUGACGGGGGCCCGCACAAGCGGUGCACCAUGUGUUUUAAUUCGAAGCAACGCGCAGAACCUUACCACCCCUUGACAUCCUGAUCGCGGAUAA